rnacentral:rRNA from 1 species
UACGUAGGGGGCAGGCGUUGUCCGGAUUUAUUGGGCGUAAAGAGCGUGUAGGCGGCUUGGUAGGUCCGCUGUGAAAACUCGAGGCUCAACCUCGAGAUGUCGGCGGAAACCGUCUGGCUAGAGUCCGGAAGAGGAGAGUGGAAUUCCUGGUGUAGCGGUGAAAUGCGCAGAUAUCAGGAAGAACACCUAUGGCGAAGGCAGCUCUCUGGGACGGUACUGACGCUGAGACGCGAAAGCGUGGGGAGCGAACAGG